AGAUGGCCUCGCGUCUGAUUAGCUUGUUGGCGGGGUAACGGCCCACCAAGGCGACGAUCAGUAGCCGGUCUGAGAGGAUGAACGGCCACAUUGGGACUGAGAUACGGCCCAGACUCCUACGGGAGGCAGCAGUGGGGAAUAUUGGGCAAUGGGGGAAACCCUGACCCAGCAACGCCGCGUGAAGGAAGAAGGCCCUCGGGUUGUAAACUUCUUUUACCAGGGACAAAGGACGUGACGGUACCUGGAGAAAAAGCAACGGCUAACUACGUGCCAGCAGCCGCGGUAAUACGUAGGUUGCAAGCGUUGUCCGGAUUUACUGGGUGUAAAGGGCGUGUAGGCGGAGAUGCAAGUUGGGAGUGAAAUCCCGGGGCUCAACCCCGGAACUGCUUUCAAAACUGUAUCCCUUGAGUAUCGGAGAGGCAAGCGGAAUUCCUAGUGUAGCGGUGAAAUGCGUAGAUAUUAGGAGGAACACCAGUGGCGAAGGCGGUUUGCUGGACGACAACUGACGCUGAGGCGCGAAAGCGUGGGGGAGCAAACAGGAUUAGAU
rnacentral:rRNA from 1 species